rfam:Mucilaginibacter sp. PPCGB 2223 NODE_1_length_2486039_cov_141.127_ID_564, whole genome shotgun sequence.
AGGGCAAUAUAUCAAUUGGUUCAGAUUACCACAUUUGGGAUGUGGAGGUUCCCGGUUCGAGUCCGGGUUGCCUUA